UACGUAGGGUCCGAGCGUUGUCCGGAAUUAUUGGGCGUAAAGGGCUCGUAGGCGGUUUGUCGCGUCGGGAGUGAAAUCUUACAAGCUUGAACUGUGAACUUGCUUCCGAUACGGGCAGACUUGAGGCAUUCAGGGGAGACGGAAUUCCUGGUGUAGCGGUGAAAUGACGCAGAUAUCAGGAGGAACACCGGUGGCGAAGGCGGUUCUCUGGGAAUGUACUGACGCUGAGGAGCGAAAGUGUGGGGAGCGAACAGG
rnacentral:rRNA from 1 species